UCCUGGGGAGCGUUCUGGGCGAAGAACUCCGGGAGCACACGCAGGGGUGACUCCGUCUGCCUGGGCUGCUCCCCGCGGAGAUCCCUCCCCACUCUGACCCCGUGAAGUCAGACAACUGUCGCUCUGAGUCGGCCCAGGGCUUCACCAGGCCUCACAGUGGCCAGGUCCUGCCUGGUCCGCCUGCUGACAGCACAGCCAGUCUGCGCCAUUUGCCAGCACCCUGGGCCUCGCUGCGCAGGCUCCAGCUGCUCUCUUUCCUGACCGGGAUGUGGCCACAGCCCCCUAAAUACACUUUCAAAUUGGCCUCCGGGACUGUGAGAAUGCAUCUCUGUGGUUCAGGCCAGGCAGCCUGUAGCCAUCACGCUGGCAGCCCUUCGGAACAGUGACAGUCGGCCAGGAGGGGAGCAAGGGUUACAAGAAACACGGGGGCUUUCCAAGGCUUGUUAUCCUCGAAUGAGACGACUUCACGAUGACUCUGAAUCGGAAAAAUAAAACUGCCAAAGUUG